CCAAUCAGGACCCAGCAGCUGACUAUAAGAAGAGCUGCAGAGCCAGUGGGAGUCCAGUUCCUUGCUGGAGCUGAAGGAGUGAGGAUGGGGUGUGGCGGGCGGGCGGAGCUACAGGACCUCAGACAAGGCCGUGCUGCCAGGAGCCAAGGAGAGCGAGAAGGAGCCCAGAGCUGGCUGCGGGGUCUCCAUCAGGACAAGGCCCGGAGAUUUGUAGGGACUUCAAGCUGAGGACCAAGCACGAGAGAGAGGCCAGGCCGAAGCUUUCUUUGUUGGAGGCUGCUCGUGAGACCAUCUUCAGUCACGGGGUACUGAGCACUUCGGACUGUGUGAGAAGUGCACCUCCAAUACUGUCCCGGCCCCACUCACCCUUGCUGGUGCCCAAGAAGGAACACAAGGCUUCCAAGGAUGCUGCCAGGAGAGGCAGAUCACCGCCCCUAAGUCUACCACGCAAGGGGGUGAAGGGUCGGGUAGAGUGCAGGCAGAAUCGAAGCGCUCCUGCACUCGCUCAUCAGGUGAGACAGCACCAGGGCAGGCACUGUCAGACCUGGGCCCAAAGUGGCACUUUCAUUGUCUGGAGCACCGUCUUCAUCUCUUCUGCAUUGGUCAGAGACUGUUCCAGGACUGUCCAGGCCAGAGGCGUAGGCAGUGGCCAGGGACUUGUUGAGCUUGUGAGUUCUGGUGUGCCCAGUGGUGCAGGAGAUUCCUUCAGUGGUCCCUGUAGACUGCAUGGCACCAACCUCCUCAGCGCAGCACCCAGUACAUGUCAUCCUCCAGCCUCCCAGAGCUCUCGGCCACCGGUGCCAUUGGUGAUGGCUUCUCCAUUAUUCCCCAGGCUCUGGUACCAGUCUCCAGCACUGACAGGUUUGGCCCCUCCGUGGUUGGGAGAUGAUGAUUCUUCUUUGGACUCUUAUGUCUCGCCACCCCUGUGACGUGUUCCAUAUUCUUAUGAAAAUAUGCUUAUGAUAUGAAUACGACAUAACUGAGAUGUACUUUAUGCAAGAUGGUUCCUGUGAGAGAUCAUUGGAGAGGUUGUAAUUUACUGAAUGGGAUUAUCUAGCGGGUAUGCCUGUAUCAUUUCUGUAUCUGAAGUUAGGAAUAUUGACUAUGUAUCUGUAUUUCAACUAUGCCACUUUGGGUGAUGCCCACUGCUAACACUUCAGAUACAACAAUGGAAAAGCCGACAGGGCGGAUGGCUCAUCAGCGAGGACAAUGGAUCGUGAAAAGCUUGGCCUUCCUGCAGAUGCUCCAUCCUGCCCCUGACUCGUGGAUGCUGUGAUCCUACAGAGUCAGGUGGUCUUGUCACCUGAUCCUAAACAUUACCUGGGACUUCUUGUAACUUUCCACUGGAAGGGAAGGGGGCGGGGGGGUCAAGUUUGGGAAACAAAGGAUUCCUGCCUUAUGUAAAUCCUAUUGAAGGGUGGGGAGGAAGGCAAACGGGACCCCUCCUCUCCAUGGCCUGUCUGCCCAAGAAGACAGACUGCAAAAGGGAAGGCCUGUGGGUGGGGGGUCCAGACUGAGAUGGGUCCAGUCUGAAAAGGAAUAUAACAGUGAACCACAGGAGCUUUGCAACCUGCCUGCAACAGUAUCUAGGGGGAGAAAUCCUGUUUGUCACCAAUGUCUUUAGUGAGACUAGCUCAGUUUGCAUGUUUGGUUUCAUUUGUUCGUUAUCUGCUUUGUUCUGUUUGUUACCCUUUUACCACUUAAAAUCUGCCUUUUAGAGUUAAUAAAACUUGUUUUGUUUAU